AUGGACGGACCAUUAGGGAUUCUGCGUCGAUAGAAACAAGUUUGCGGUGUAUUUGUUCGUUAGAUUAACCCUAACGAUUGUGAGUCGUAGUGAUUUCCUCCUUCUGGAUAGGUUAACAAAGGAUUUUGCCCGGUUGCCGCCCUGAGGGGCUGAUCCCAACUUACCGACGGAGAUCCUAACCGGAAAACAAGAACAUUUCAGGAUUGAAAGACGUGGCAGCGUGGUGGGAUGUCGUGAGACGAGUAAAGAAUAUUUUAUCGAAUCAUAGAAACAGAUAUACGACAGAUCAAAAAUUUGACACCACUUUAUACCAUCUACGUCUUGUUAUCCGGUCUAUGAUUCUUUCUUUUAGUCUUGUAAAAACGUGGCAUAACAAAAAUGAAAAGAAAAUCUCAGGAAUAUGGAAAUAAUCGAGUUAACCUCAAAAUAAACAUUAAAAUGCCGGAACGCGAGAAAUUGCCGACGGAUGGUAAGGUUCCGGCGGGAACACUAGAAGUUUGGAAAUCUUUCGAAUUUUAAAAAACUUGCUCGACACUGCCAAGAAUUUGUGCAAGAAGUGAAAGUUAGAAAAGUACGAUAACAAGAUUAGAAAAAAGAACAAGCUGCCUGCAACUAAGUUCGUUUACGUAGGAAAGCGACGAGAAGGGAUGAUGCGCAACGAUCGGAAACGCGUCUCUCAGAUUUCAAAUUCACCAUUACCCAUCCGUCUAUAACGUCUCGUCACGCGGACGUUGAAAGUGAAAGAUGUGACGCCCGAUCAGACCAAAGGAUUCGCUUUUCAUACCGGAGGAUGUUGAAGCUCGUGAAAGAUUCACGGCACGUCCAAGAUUCUCUCGAUGCGUCACAUUAAGCGAGUUAUAAGGAUAUAUCCGAAGCGGCGCUAUCAAUAUCACGACGGCAGGAAGUCAGGAGAAAUCACUGUUACGCCUGAUCACUUCCGCUUUGACGAUAAAUCAGAAAACGCGUAAUUUUCAUCUUCCAUUGAAUAAUACAAAUGAAAUGGAGAGACAGAUUUGUUAUGCAGAGAAGCAAUAUUUCAUCUAGAAAUUGCGAACGUAGCGGAAUUUCUAUAUUUAAUCGAUGAUCAAUAAAAAAUUAGGACAUGCAACUUUUUAAUUUCAAGCUUCGAAAGAUCAUUAGACAUUCUCUGUUAAUCUUACUAAAUGAAAUUGGCAAAUAGAAUUACCGCGAGACGAAGCAAAAUUUUACCUGGCGUGUUACAAAUUCCAAACUUUGGGAGAUCAUUGGACUCUAGGAUCACUGUCUUUGUCUUUAUUCUUCCUAAACAGACGACAAAUAGAAUUGCCGCGGAGCAAAAUUGUAUUCAAAACCUCAAACUAGAAUCUCAAAUUUUAGAAAUAUCAUUCUCAAUAAUAGAUCUUACAAAAUAGAUUAAUACGAUUGAUCUCCAAAUAUUCGUACAAUAACGAUAUUUAUCUAUGCUUGAAUAGGAAACAAUUUCUUUUACCGUGACUCCUUUAUCGAUCUUCCUUUAUUAAUUUAUUAAUAUAAAAUUAAUUCCAAUUUUGCUCGUCUAAAGAUUAAGUAAUAAAGCCGGAGCGGUUGAGGAUUCGUUAAGGGUACUAAAUCAGACGUUCGAUAAUAGAAUUGCAGUUGAUGGUGAUUGCUACACUCUCAGCCGUCAGAAAUUACCUUCUUCAAUUAACCAAAUAAGUUCGGGACGGAAACGCAUGGCUCUGCAGAGACAAAAUCUUGAUUAAGAGAUGCAUCGGACAGGCCGAUGCCAUCCGGCUUGAUGAAUAAAUCGCUAUAGACAGAUCUCAUUAACUGCGUAUCCACUUUCGCGUCUGACCACAACCGUCACGGUUCGCUGUUACUGUUGUGCUCCACUACUUAAGCCAAACGAAACAGUAUUUUUGACUCUGGUCAUAGUAACUUAGAUAUGAGGAGUACUGUAAGAUCGAUCAAGUAAUGCAAUUGAUAGUUGAUUCACGUAUGAGAACAGUAAAGUCCCAGAAAUCUUGGUCAGGAUCGUAUCUCGGCUGUAAUUGUGCUUCAGUUCCUAGCUUCCGUCUCUGUGAGAUUUUUUAUUAUUGGAAUUUUCUUUUUUAUUAUCGUUUCAUUCAAUUAUCGAGUUUUCCUUCUAUCGUUUUUGUGAGUUCUUUUUUGUUAAAGCUUGUGCGCCCUGGUUCUUUCCUAUUACUACAAGCGUCUUCUUAAAGUUCCUGUACUUUCUUAUCGUUGGAAUUUCUUUCCAGUAUCUUGCACUGCCAUUUUUCAUCGCAGCAAUUCUCUUUUAUCUUUCCUUUUGACUUUCAAGUUCUCUUUUACACCGAGUGGAAUCCGUUUCUUGUUCUCCCCAAACUGCUUUUUUUCACUGCUGGUGUCUUCUUCUUGAUCGUUUCUUGAUACCCUUGCACGUUUCCUUUUAAAUUAUUACAAUCUCCCUUGAUGCUCUUUACUAGUUUUUCUUUAUUAGAAUCUCUUUUUUGAUGUCCUUACCACCUUAUCCGUUUCUCAAAUAUUCUGACAUUUAGAGAAUAUAGAAUAAAUAAUAACGCUUAACAAUUUCUAAUUGUAAAUAGCUACUACGGAAGCGCCAUAUCAAAAAUCCUCACUUUAACUCAAGAUAACUUCCUCAGAAUACCUCUCGACCAAUUAAUUCUCCUUCCAAAUACUUUGACCUGUCCUCGCAGCAAGAAAUAAGGAAGAAAACUUCACUCUGUAAUUGGAACAAAAAUAAAAGAUCCCAUGCCACCCACAUAUAUUCUCAUUAACUAAAUUCCUCUAGCACGUCCUUGACGGUUCUCCAACUAAAUACCAGUCCCUGUAUUCCGUACUCAGACCAUUCUUAACACCAAUUACCCAGCUUAAUCUGAACCAUCAGCGCGAUAACGCGCAGGCCAGCGUCGAAGGAGUUCCGUGGAAAACGGCGAAUACCGUCGUGCACCGGUGUGUUUGCAACAGUCGACGUCGUUCUCCGUAGAUGAUACCCAGCAGGACAGUUUUUAAUCACCAUAUUACAAUUGCUCCAAUUUCAAGAAGACCAACGGAUCUCCAUAUUCCACCAAGCCUUACAAGUUUCAAGCGAUAGAAAAUGAUUCCACCAUGGAGUUAAUCGAGCUGGCUAGAUCGUUCCACUUUGUUCAAUUGAAUGUAGACCCUCAGGAGCUGGUAAGAGCAACGGUUGUUGGUCCAGCAGAGCAACACCAGCCUGUUCACCCUCUGGUAGCUUCUAUUCUGUGCUACAUCCCAUUGAUGACACCAUGGACAGGGGUGGCAGAAUGUCGCGUGGCGACACGUUUCACUGUUCUGAGUCACAUGUCAUUCCGUAUGAAUUACAACUCCAUUAACGUUCCAGACAACCUGCGAGCAUACAUAAUGCUGGCGAAUUGAGCGGAUCAGCUCCUCAGCCAAGAUGUUGAUUUAUGGGGAACGAUGGAGGUGGCCUGGUCCUUGGACGAACAGAGCCAAUCAUAAAGUGAUUGAAUUUUUAAUCUCUUACUUGGAAAUCUUCUUUUUUAUUCCAUUUUAAGGUAACUUGUCUUUAAGAGAAGCGCAGAUCCCUUUUUUUCUUUUUGUUUUUAGCUCUAUUCAUUUUUCAUCUUUUCCUCUUCUUCGUCAUGUUUCUCCUUCUUUUAAAUUUUAAUGAAAUCCAUCCAUGCGCUGUUUCACGGUUAAAUUUCUAACGAACAGCGUAAAAAAUUCUGCCAAUUCCUCUGUUCAUCUUCUCCUCUCGCUUCUCCCACAGUUUGAACGACAGAUAAUGUUUGUUGCUCUACGUUAAAUUGUUUCAGUUUCACGCAAUACAAUAUAAUACAAUUUUCUUGUCUUUUUCUUCUGGUGUCGUGCGACACUGUUAAUUCACAAUUAAUCAAAAGUCGCUCAACACAAAGAACGAAGAAAAUAUCUGGAAGAUAAUUUGACGACUGUACGUAAUCGCAGGUGAAUAUUGGUAAAAUAUCUUACAAUAAAAUAAACGAGAAUCUGUGAUGUAAAUCGAUAACGUUCCCAGAUGCCUUAAGGGUGGACCUUAGGCUAAGGAAUUAGGGAAGAUUCGAACUGACUACCCUACGUCAGGGAAAACCUCUCUAGAAAUGGCGGUCGGCCCGUGAUGCCGCAAACUAAUAGAAAAUUGAUAGUAACUUCGUGCUUAAUUAUCAUGCGUGCGUAGUACAUUCACGUUUACGGUUUCCAGAUGAGCUAAGCAGAAUGUUAGCUGGUUGCAGCUAGACAAUUAUAAUUCCUUGUACCAUUGAUUUCUCAUAUUCUCUGUGUAAUUAAUAGAAAUGCGAAAAUAACGUAUUAUUCUUCAAUAACGUAAUUUUAUAAAGCGAUGAAAUUAUAUAGAAAAGUAUGGAGAUUAGAAAAAGUUAGAACAAAAUUAGAAAUUUCAUUAGUGGAAAAAUUCAUUGCUUUGAUAUACCGUUACGAUUGAAAAAUAGUACAGUGACAAAAUUAGAAAUUCUAUUUCCACGAUAAAUAGAUUACACUGUCUUCGUUGUUAAUGAUAGAAUAAUUAAUUUUUCGUUAUUGUUAUAAGCGAACUAAUAGGAUAGAAAUUAUAGGAUUAUCAAAUUGGGAAUUCUACUUUCAUAAUGGAUAGAUGAACAUAUUCUAAGCUGCUUAUUAAUAAUGGAAUAAUACAUGUUUUUAGUUAUUAAUACUAUCGUUAGAGGAUCAAUUAUUAAUAUUAUAGUUAGAGGACUCGUGACAUUUACGUCACAAACAACUGUCGCGGAUGAUAUCGUAAUCCGAAACACCUAAGCUCGUUUGUUUCCAAUAGAUUUUUGCACCGUUGCCAUCGACGAGAUUACAUUUUCCCUGAUAAUGCAAUUUCUGAACGUUUUCAGAAUAUGUUUCUGGGACAUUGGUGAUUAGUGUUAGCAGCAAUAAAGUUCCUAGCUAACUGAAUUUACCGGCUGGCAAUAAGUGUCAAAAGUGAACAGCCUGUUUCGCAAUUAGGCAAAAUACAGAUUUUAUGACAUUAAACUUGUUGGCGCAACUGCAAUUUUCCCUCUUAAAAUAUUACACUAGCCAUGGUACAUCGUGGCUUUCAGAAUUACACAUCAAUCAAAUACAGAACAGACGAUAAUAAGAGGAACAUUUAUUAAAUUAAUAAAUUAUUCCUUGAUAGUGGAACAUUGAAA